rnacentral:lncRNA from 10 species
CCGCGUGACUUGUCCUCUCUGGAAAGAUCCUGUUGCUUCCUGCCUGGGCAGGGCUGGGGCCAGGGCUUGCCGGCUUUGGGGACCCACCCAGCGCAGUCUGGACUGGGCUGGCCUCAAAGGUCCCAACCUCUGAGCCUCCCCUGACCCACCAUCCAGCACCGCUCCCCCGGCCGCCUGGCUGAGACUCACGAGAAUGACAUGAGUCAUUCACAGCAGCUGUGGACAUUUACAGAGCCUCCCAGCUGCUGGCCCAGCCAAGUGCUAUGCCAGCAGUCUCUCCCCUCCUCACGGGAGUGUCACCCCUGUUCACACCUGAGGACACGGCUCAGAGCAGGAAGGGAUAAAGGUGGAUGAGAGAAUGAAGCUCAGCUCCACUUCCCCGCUAGGAGGAAAUGAGGCAGAGAAGAGAGGCAACUCGGCAUCAGUUGUCCACGGGACAGUCCCAAGCCUGGAUUUGAACACAGGUGGAGAUGUGAUGUCAUUUUAGUACUCUUUUUGAGAAGUUGACCAAAAGAAGCGGCCAUCUCUUGCAACCUGGGGAUAUUUGAGUUUCCUCUGUGAUGAAGCUUCGGCUGCUCCCCCCACCUGCUUCUGCCCUCCCCUCUACUCUGCUGUUGUUUUCUUUUUUUUCCCAUUGCAUUAUCUACCUUCUAGCGUGUUAUUAACUGCUCCAGUUUCCCAGGCCACUGCCUGUCAUCUGGCCUCCUGGCUGGAACAUCAGCCCCACUAGGGCAGGGACCUUGUCUGUUUUGUGCUUGGCCUACAAAAGUGCCCAGCACCCAGUAGGACCUCAUGGGCCUCAUGUAUAAAACUUCUUUUUUUUUUGAGACGGAGUCUCGCUCUGUCACCCAGACUGGAGUGCAGUGGUGCAAUCUCGGCUCACUGCAACCUCCGCCUCCUGGGUUCAAGCGAUUCUCCUUCCUCAGCCUCCAGAGUAGUUGGGACAACAGGAGCGUGCCACAAUGCCCAGCUAAUUUUUGAUAUUUUUAGUAGAGGUGGGGUUUCACCGUAUUAGCCAGGAUGGUCUCCAUCUCCCGACCUCGUGAUCCACCCGCCUUGGCCUCCCAAAGUGCUGGGAUUAUAGGCAUAAGCCAUCGCGCCCGGCCAUGUAUAAAACUUUUGUUGAUGAAUACAUGAAUCACCAACUGAAAAUAAAUUUUGAGCAAGCAAACCAAAUAUAAGGCAGAAACAACUGUCUUGAAAGUCAACAUAGGCCAGGCACAGUGGCUCACGCCUGUAAUCCCAGCACUUUGGGAAGCCGAGGAGGGUGGAUCACCUGAGGUCAGGAGUCCGAGACCGGCCUGGCCAACAUGGCAAAACCCUGUCUCUACUAAAAAUACAAAAAUUAGCUGGGGGUGGCGAUGCGUGCCUGUAAUCCCAGCUACUUGGGAGGCUGAGGCAGGAGAAUCGCUUGAACCUGGGAGCGGAGGUUGCAGUGAGCUGAAAUUGCACCACUGCACUCCAGCCUGGGUGACAAAGUGAGACUCCUCAAAAAAAAAAAAAAAAAAAGUCAGCAUAAAUGGGCCAGGCGCAGUGGCUCACACCUGUAAUCCUAGCACUUUGGGAGGCUGAAGUGGGCAGAUUGCUUGAGCCCAGGAGUUUGACACCAGCCUGGGUAACAUGGCAAAACUCUGUCUCUACAAAAAAUUUAAAAAUUAGCUGGGUAUGGUGGCGCAUGCCUGUAGUCCCAGCUACUUGGGAGACUGAUACGGGAGGAUAGCUUGAACUUGGAAGGUCGAGGUUGCAGUGAGCUGUGAUUGUGCCACUGCACUGAAAGAGUGAGACCCUAUCUAAAAAAAAUAAUAAAAUCAGCAUAAAUGUUUUAAUGUCACACUAGAGUGUCCCUGAGU